AUUGAACGCUGGCGGCAGGCCUAACACAUGCAAGUCGAGCGGAUGAGGAAAGCUUGCUUUUCGAUUCAGCGGCGGACGGGUGAGUAAUGCCUAGGAAUCUGCCUGUUAGUGGGGGAUAACUCGGGGAAACUCGGGCUAAUACCGCAUACGUCCUACGGGAGAAAGUGGUGGAUCUUCGGACCUCACGCUAACAGAUGAGCCUAGGUCGGAUUAGCUAGUAGGUGAGGUAAUGGCUCACCUAGGCGACGAUCCGUAGCUGGUCUGAGAGGAGGAUCAGCCACACUGGAACUGAGACACGGUCCAGACUCCUACGAGAGGCAGCAGUGGGGAAUCUUGCGCAAUGCGCGAAAGCGUGACGCAGCAACGCCGCGUGGGGGAAGAAGGCCUUCGGGUUGUAAACCCCUUUCAGGAGGGACGAAGCCUGGCUGGUGAAUAGCCAGUCCAGGUGACGGUACCUCCACAAGAAGCCCCGGCUAACUACGUGCCAGCCGCCGCCGUAAUAC
rnacentral:rRNA from 1 species